rnacentral:rRNA from 1 species
AGAGUUUGAUCCUGGCUCAGGACGACGCUGGCGGCGUGCUUAACACAUGCAAGUCGAACGGAAAGGCCCUGCUUUUGUGGGGUGCUCGAGUGGCGAACGGGUGAGUAACACGUGAGUAACCUGCCCUUGACUUUGGGAUAACUUCAGGAAACUGGGGCUAAUACCGGAUAGGAGCUCCUGCUGCAUGGUGGGGGUUGGAAAGUUUCGGCGGUUGGGGAUGGACUCGCGGCUUAUCAGCUUGUUGUGGGGUAGUGGCUUACCAAGGCUUUGACGGGUAGCCGGCCUGAGAGGGUGACCGGCCACAUUGGGACUGAGAUACGGCCCAGACUCCUACGGGAGGCAGCAGUGGGGAAUAUUGCACAAUGGGCGGAAGCCUGAUGCAGCAACGCCGCGUGCGGGAUGACGGCCUUCGGGUUGUAAACCGCUUUCGCCUGUGACGAGGCGUGAGUGACGGUAAUGGGUAAAGAAGCACCGGCUAACUACGUG